AUCUAAUAUCUGCUGGAAAGCCAACAAUGAAUCCACAAAAAUCCAGUGCAGGAAUAAGAACCCAAGGAGGACUGGAAGCUUCAGGGAUGACUACAAAAGGGAAAAGUUUUUUGCUACAAUUGGAGAUACACACCCACAAAC